UACGUAGGGUGCGAGCGUUAAUCGGAAUUACUGAGCGUAAAGCGUGCGCAGGCGGUUUUGUAAGCCAGAUGUGAAAUCCCCGGGCUUAACCUGGGAAUGGCAUUUGGGACUGCAAGGCUUGAGUGCGGCAGAGGAGACUGGAAUUCCUGGUGUAGCAGUGAAAUGCGUAGAUAUCAGGAGGAAUACCGAUGGCGAAGGCAGGUCUCUGGGCUGACACUGACGCUCAUGCACGAAAGCGUGGGGAGCAAACAGG
rnacentral:rRNA from 1 species